UGGCUGGGAAGCACAGACGAAUCCUUAAAGCAAGAAGGCCGACUAAGACCAGAGGCAGCAAUCGCCCAUGGCACUGAGAA
rnacentral:lncRNA from 12 species